rnacentral:rRNA from 1 species
UACAUAGGGGGCAAGCGUUGUCCGGAUUCAUUGGGCGUAAAGAGCGUGUAGGCGGCCAGGUAGGUCGGUUGUGAAAACUGGAGGCUCAGCCUUCAGACGUCGACCGAAACCAUCUGGCUAGAGUCCGGGAGAGGAGAGUGGAAUUCCUGGUGUAGCGGUGAAAUGCGCAGAUAUCAGGAAGAACACCCGUGGCGAAAGCGGCUCUCUGGAACGGUACUGACGCUGAGACGCGAAAAGCGUGGGGAGCGAACAGG